rnacentral:misc_RNA from 1 species
CUUGAUGUAUCUCAUAUCAAUAAGGCCUGACAUCUUGUUUCUUGUGAGUGUUUUAUCCAGAUUUCUGAAUUGUGCUAGUGAGUCACACAUGAUGGUUGCCAAAAGAGUGGUUAGAUAUCUUAAAGGAACUCUAACUUAUGGCAUCAAAUUUAGCAAAUGUUAGAAUUGCAAGCUCCAUGGAUAUUCUGACAGUGAUUGGGCCGGGUCAAUUGAUGAUAUGAAAAGCACUUCUGAAUACUGUUUCACUUUUGGAUCUGGGUGUUUUUCAUGGUGCUCAAAGAAACAAGAAGUGGUGGCACAAUCAACAACUAAAGCAGAG